UGCAGUGGGCGAUAUCAUGGAGGUCUCUGUAGUAUACAGAAGGUCGCAUCGAUCGAUGUCCAAUGGUAGCAAGUUAGCGUGAUGUGCUAGUUUUCAGAGAGAGUACACUUUGUGCUUUGAAGGCGAAAUCUCUGUAUUUUCUCCAUGAUUUUGAGAUGAACAAGAAGCAUGAAUACAAAGCGCAAGCUCUUCUGCAAAAUCGCGGAUGCGAUGGAUGCUGCUGCUAGGGCCAAAAUUUUAGAAAAUGCCGCAGUUGAAUCAUGUAAGGAAAUUCGUUCCUUCAGUCAUCAUGAAGGUUGAAGCCCGAUAAGUUCUUGAUGGUCGAGGAAGUUCGACUGCUGAAGCGGACUUGUAUUAUUCGUCUGCAUCAAUUCUACAGGCAUGAUAUGGUGUUUUGACCGUGUUCGAGCUGAACCGAAAAAGAAGGUGGAAUGCGAAAGACAUGAUGUAGGCGCUGCUGUAACACACAGGUAUCCCCUUUUCUUAUUUGCUCUUUUUGAUUUCCAAAUCUAAAUGUUAAAAAGGGUUUCUAAGAUUGUUUUUCUUUCCGUGUGAUUUAAAACCUUACACAACAAAAAACGUUUUUCUUCAAGUUAUUGGUAGUAGGUGCACUGAGAGUCUAGGAUAACCCAAUUAGAUUGGCAUAAUGCACCUGUUGGGACAUGAUAUAAAAAUGAUAUGAAAUAAGUAAUGG